UCGGGCAUGGUCUAGUGGCUAUGACGUCUGCCUAACACGCAGAAGCACCAGGGUUCGAUUCCCUGUGCCCGUA
rnacentral:tRNA from 1 species